GACAGAGGGUGCAAACGUUGCUCGGAAUUACUGGGCGUAAAGCGCGUGUAGGCGGGCCGAUAAGUCAGAUGUGAAAUCCCUGAGCUCAACUCAGGAACUGCAUUUGAAACUGCCGGUCUAGAGUGGUGGAGAGGGAAGCGGAAUUCCUGGUGUAGAGGUGAAAUUCGUAGAUAUCAGGAGGAACACCGGUGGCGAAGGCGACUUCCUGGACACCAACUGACGCUGAGACGCGAAAGCGUGGGGAGCAAACAGG
rnacentral:rRNA from 1 species